CACUACCAUUAGGAUAGGUUAUCCUCAUAAUUUUGAUCAGAGCCAAUUUGAAUGCACAUCGACAUCCUUUGAGGAGUUAGCUAGCACUACAUUUGGUGUUGAUACUGCACAAGAUACUGCUAGAGGAGAUACUGCUAGAGGAUCUGAUGAGCAUAUGGUGGAUCUGGACCACGUCCCGGGGACAAGAGAGAUACUGCUAGAGGAUCUGAUGAGCAUAUG